GACGAACGCUGGCGGCGUGCCUAAUACAUGCAAGUAGAACGCACAGUUUAUACCGUAGCUUGCUACACCAUAGACUGUGAGUUGCGAACGGGUGAGUAACGCGUAGGUAACCUGCCUGGUAGCGGGGGAUAACUAUUGGAAACGAUAGCUAAUACCGCAUAAUAUUGAUUAUUGCAUGAUAAUUGAUUGAAAGAUGCUAUUGCAUCACUACCAGAUGGACCUGCGUUGUAUUAGCUAGUAGGUGAGGUAACGGCUCACCUAGGCGACGAUACAUAGCCGACCUGGGAGGGUGGUCGGCCACACUGGGACUGAGACAAGGCCCAGACUCCUACGGGAGGCAGCAGUAGGGAAUCUUCGGCAAUGGACGAAAGUCUGACCGAGCAACGCCGCGUGAGUGAAGAAGGUUUUCGGAUCGUAAAGCUCUGUUGUAAGAGAAGAACGGGUGUGAGAGUGGAAAGUUCACACUGUGACGGUAUCUUACCAGAAAGGGACGGCUAACUACGUG
rnacentral:rRNA from 1 species